GAAGGUGUAGCUCAAGUGGUAGAGCGCAUGCUUAGCAUGCACGAGGUCCUGGGUUCAAGCCCCAGUACUUCCU
rnacentral:tRNA from 1 species